GGAGGUGUGGCCGAGUGGUUUAAGGCACUGGUCUUGAAAACCAGCGAAGGUGAGAGCCUUCCGUGAGUUCGAAUCUCACCGCCUCCGCCA
rnacentral:tRNA from 1 species